AUUGAACGCUGGCGGCAUGCCUUACACAUGCAAGUCAAACGGUAACAGGUCUUCGGAUGCUGACGAGUGGCGAACGGGUGAGUAAUACAUCGGAACGUGCCUAGUAGUGGGGGAUAACUACUCGAAAGAGUGGCUAAUACCGCAUGAGAUCUACGGAUGAAAGCAGGGGAUCGCAAGACCUUGUGCUACUAGAGCGGCCGAUGGCAGAUUAGGUAGUUGGUGGGAUAAAAGCUUACCAAGCCGACGAUCUGUAGCUGGUCUGAGAGGACGAUCAGCGACACUGGGACUGAGACACGGCCCAGACUCCUACGGGAGGCAGCAGUGGGGAAUUUUGGACAAUGGGCGCAAGCCUGAUCCAGCAAUGCCGCGUGCGGGAUGAAGGCCUUCGGGUUGUAAACUGCUUUUGUACGGAACGAAAAGCCCCGGGUUAAUACCCUGGGGUCAUGACGGUACCGUAAGAAUAAGCACCGGCUAACUACGUGCCAGCCGCCGCAGUAA
rnacentral:rRNA from 1 species